rnacentral:rRNA from 1 species
UACGUAGGGUGCAAGCGUUGCCCGGAUUUAUUGGGCGUAAAGGGCGCGCAGGCGGCUACGCACGUCCGUUGUGAAAUCGCUCGGCUCAACUGGGCGGGGUCAGCGGAUACGGCGUAGCUGGAGCAAGCUAGGGGGCAAUGGAAUUCCCGGUGUAGUGGUGGAAUGCGUAGAUAUCUGGAGGAACACCGGUGGCGAAAGCGACUCACUGGACCGACACUGACGCUGAGGUGCGAAAGCUAGGGUAGCAAACGGG